rnacentral:rRNA from 1 species
UACGUAGGGUGCGAGCGUUGUCCGGAAUUAUUGGGCGUAAAGAGCUUGUAGGCGGUUUGUCGCGUCUGCCGUGAAAGCCCAGGGCUUAACCCUGGGUCUGCGGUGGGUACGGGCAGACUAGAGUGUGGUAGGGGAGACUGGAAUUCCUGGUGUAGCGGUGAAAUGCGCAGAUAUCAGGAGGAACACCGGUGGCGAAGGCGGGUCUCUGGGCCGAUACUGACGCUGGAGGAGCGAAAGCGUGGGGAGCGAACAGG